rnacentral:rRNA from 1 species
UUUGAACACUGGCGGCAUGCUUUACACAUGCAAGUCGAACGGUAACAGGGUGCUUGCACCGCUGACGAGUGGCGAACGGGUGAGUAAUGCGUCGGAACGUGCCGAGUAGUGGGGGAUAACGCAGCGAAAGUUGUGCUAACACCGCAUACGUACUGAGGUAGGAAGUGGGGGACCUUCGGGCCUCACGCUAUUCGAGCGGCCGACGUCUGAUUAGCUAGUAGGUGAGGUAAAGGCUCACCUAGGCGACGAUCAGUAGCGGGUCUGAGAGGAUGAUGCGCCACACUUGGACUGAGAAACGGCCCAGACUCCUACGGGAGGCAGCAGUGGGGAAUUUUGGACAAUGGGCGAAAGCCUGAUCCAGCCAUGCCGCGUGUCUGAAGAAGGCCUUCGGGUUGUAAAGGACUUUUGUCAGGGAGGAAAUCCCUAGUGCUAAUAACACUGGGGGAUGACAGUACCUGAAGAAUAAGCACCGGCUAACUACGUGCCAGCCGCCGCCGUAA